CUCCGCGGGGCCGAGGCCGCGCGCCUAGAGCGGCCCCACCGCCGCCAUCGCGGACAAGGGCGGGGAGGUAGGCGUCACCUCGAGAGCCAGUUCUGGCCGACGCGCCUCCGACUCGCGUGGCCGCUCGACUUUGAGUCUCCCAGGACAGGUGUUUUAAGUUCACGGUUGGAGGUGGUGCAAGCCAAGCUCAGGAGUGGCUCCAGACGUUUUCAAAAUUCCUGCCAGGAGCCAAGAUGUCGGCCUCAGGGCCUGGGGACAAUCUAGCCUCUCGCCCCUCUAUGUGGCCGGCGGAGCUGUUUCGCGCUUGUUGCCGACAGUACUACUAAGACGCUCCAGAGCCUUGCCGCGGGGACCGUCCCCAGGCCCCGUCCUGUGUCUGCAGGCCCGACAGAAAUGAAGCCGUUCUAAAGGAGACGUUCAGACUUUGGAGAAACGGACCCCGGAGAAAUGGGGAUUUUCCUGGGAACGUCAUGCUGGGAGAAGGAAGAAGCGCCCGGAAGAGCGGAGCUUGUCUCCCACAGAGAUUUCACACAGCUCCCACGACCUGUCAGUACCUCACGGACUGAGGCCCAGACGAGGACGGGUCGGUGGUG